GGGGAAUUUGCACAAUGGGGGCAACCCUGAUCCAGCCAUGCCGCGUGAGUGAAGAAGGCCUUCGGGUUGUAAAGCUCUUUCGCUAGGGAAGAAACGAUAUURGUUAAUACGCUUAUGGUAAUGACGGUACCUU
rnacentral:rRNA from 1 species